rnacentral:tRNA from 2 species
GGGUUGGCUUGCCCAUUGGUGUGGGCAGCUGUCUGUAAAACAGUCGCUUUUAAGCUUUGCAGGUUCAAAUCCUGCCCAACCCA